CCCUUAGAUGUUCUGGGCCGCACGCGCGCUACACUGAUGCAUUCAACGAGCCUAUCCUUGACCGACAGGUCCGGGUAAUCUUUGAAUCUGCAUCGUGACGGGGAUAGAUCAUUGCAAUUAUUGAUCUUGAACGAGGAAUUCCUAGUAAAUGUGAGUCAUCAGCUCACGUUGAUUACGUCCCUGCCCUUUGUACACACCGCCCGUCGCUCCUACCGAUUGAGUGAACCGAUGAGUAGUCCGGAUUGCGAUCGACCUCGGUUAAUCGCGAGAAGUUCCGCAAAUCACUUCACUUAGAGGAAGGAGAAGUCGUAACA
rnacentral:rRNA from 1 species